CUUGCACCUUUCAAGCGAGUGGCGAACGGGUGAGUAACACGUGGAUAACCUGCCUCAAGGCUGGGGAUAACAUUUGGAAACAGAUGCUAAUACCGAAUAAAACUUAGUAUCGCAUGAUACAAAGUUGAAAGGCGCUACGGCGUCACCUAGAGAUGGGUCCGCGGUGCAUUAGUUAGUUGGUGGGGUAAAGGCCUACCAAGACAAUGAUGCAUAGCCGAGUUGAGAGACUGAUCGGCCACAUUGGGACUGAGACACGGCCCAAACUCCUACGGGAGGCUGCAGUAGGGAAUCUUCCACAAUGGGCGAAAGCCUGAUGGAGCAACGCCGCGUGUGUGAUGAAGGCUUUAGGGUCGUAAAGCACUGUUGUAUGGGAAGAAAUGCUAGAAUAGGGAAUGAUUCUAGUUCGACGGUACCAUACCAGAAAGGGACGGCUAAAUACGUGCCAGCAGCCGCGGUAAUACGUAUGUCCCGAGCGUUAUCCGGAUUUAUUGGGCGUAAAGCGAGCGCAGACGGUUGAUUAAGUCUGAUGUGAAAGCCCGGAGCUCAACUCCGGAAUGGCAUUGGAAACUGGUUAACUUGAGUGUUGUAGAGGUAAGUGGAACUCCUGGGGAGG
rnacentral:rRNA from 1 species